rnacentral:lncRNA from 1 species
AUCAAUUUGGCUUUUGAAUGUUACCCAACAUCUAAAAUUCUGUACACAGAACUCUGUUGACUGAGUGAAAUGUUUUGUUCAGACUCCAAGGGAAAACAUUCUCAUCCUUAUGUGGAUUAGUAAUUUGCAUGAGCACCUAUAUGAUUUUAUAGAGUUAGAGAAGCAUUACUUAGAAAAAGCUGAAAAGUCUUAUGGUAUACGUAAAUUAUUCCGGUCAUUGUAAUAUGGUGAAUUAUAAGAUAGAAUAUACCCGAUGAGAGAAAGAUAAUACAUUAAAGCAGUUAUUCCAUUUGGACAUCACAACAUACCUGAGAAAUGUCAAAGUACCAAAAAAAAGAGAAAAUGUAUUCUAAUUAUGAGUGCAAUAUGGAGCUAUUAAGAUGUAAGAACGGGAUUGCCCUGUUACAAAAUAAAGUGGAAAAAGAAGAAGCUCUUAGAGAAAGGCUUCGAUCUGAAUCAACUCUUGUCCUAAAGAUUGCAGACUUUGAAAAAAUGGCGCUUGAAAAACAGUUAGGUGAAACAAACAGAUACUGCAGAACACUAUUCUCUUUCCCAGUGUUUCCGCUGCAACUCCACUUGCUCCUAGUCCCCUUCACGAUAUGUACAAAUCCCAGGAAGGCGAGGAUCAUAUGCUGAAUCUGCUGCGGGACUAUCUUGCAUCUGAUACCGAUCCCAGAGCUCAGGAUUGUCUUGGAAUCCUUCGGUUUCACUCCACAAAGUUGGUGUUUAAAUAGAGUGGAUAGAAAUAAAAUUUUAAGGAAUUUCUGUAGAAUCUUGUUUUGUUACAAAUUUCAUUUUGCAUUCUCUUGUAGAUUCUGUAUAUCCGCU